rnacentral:rRNA from 1 species
CCUACGGGAGGCAGCAGUGAGGAAUAUUGGUCAAUGGACGAGAGUCUGAACCAGCCAAGUAGCGUGAAGGAUGACUGCCCUAUGGGUUGUAAACUUCUUUUAUAUGGGAAUAAAACAGGGUAUGCAUACCAUCUUGUAUGUGCCAUAUGAAUAAGGAUCGGCUAACUCCGUGACAGCAGCCGCGGUAAUACGGCGGGUCCGAGAGUUAUCCGGAUUUAUUGGGUUUAAAGGGAGAUUAGGUGGAUUGUUAAGUCAGUUGUGAAAGUUUGCGGCUCAACCGUAAAAGUGCAGUUGAAACUGGCAGUCUUGAGUACAGUAGAGGUGAGCGGAAUUCGGGGUGUAGCGGUGAAAUGCUUAGAUAUCACGAAGAACUCCGAUUGCGAAGGCAGCUCACUGGACUGCAACUGACACUGAUGCUCGAAAGUGUGGGUAUCAAACAGGAUUAGAUACCCCAGUAGUC